rnacentral:tRNA from 1 species
GCCGAGGUGGUGAAAUGGUAUACACACUAGCUUUAGGAGCUAGCGGACGCAAGUCCAUGGAGGUUCAAGUCCUCUCCUCGGCA